rnacentral:rRNA from 1 species
CUGACUGUGCUAAGGUAGCAUAAUAAUUAGUUAUUUAAAUAAUACCUAGAAUGAAAGGUCUGACGAAAAACUCAUUUUAUUAUUAUAAAUUUAACUUUAUAUAUAAAUAAAAAAGUUUAUAAGUCCUUGGUGGACGAUAAGACCCUAAAACCUUUAUUGAUAAAUAUUCUUUUCACUGGGGAGGUGAGUUAUACUAACAUAGCUUACUUUAACAUAGUGAAUGAACUCCCCUAACCUUGAGAUAUACUCAGUUAGGUACUUUAGGGAUAACAGCAUAAUUUUUAUAAAGAGCACUUAUCGACAUAAAAGAUUAUGACCUCGAUGUUGAAUUGAUAUAGCUUUUUAAAGCAGAAAUUAUUCUAGCGGGUCUGUUCGACCUUUAAUUUAUCACGUGAUCUGAGUUCAGACCGGA